UUAGUGGCGGACGGGCGAGUAACGCGUGAGUAACCUGCCCUUCAGUGGGGAACAACAGUUGGAAACGACUGCUAAUACCGCAUAAUGUCACGAGACCGCAUGAUCUUGUGACCAAAGGAUUUAUUCGCUGAAGGAUGGACUCGCGUCCGAUUAGCUAGUUGGUGAGGUAACGGCUCACCAAGGCGACGAUCGGUAGCCGAACUGAGAGGUUGAUCGGCCGCAUUGUGACUGAGACACGGCCCAGACUCCUACGGGAGGCAGCAGUGGGGGAUAUUGCACAAUGGGGGAAACCCUGAUGCAGCAAUGCCGCGUGAGGGAAGAAGGUCUUCGGAUUGUAAACCUAAGUUGUCAGGGACGAAACAAAUGACGGUACCUGAAGAGAAAGCUCCGGCUAACUACGUGCCAGCAGCCGCGGUAAUACGUAGGGAGCGAGCGUUGUCCGGAUUUACUGGGUGUAAAGGGUGCGUAGGCGGGUUUGCAAGUCAGGCGUGAAAUACCGAGGCUCAACUUCGGGGCUGCGCUUGAAACUGUAGAUCUUGAGUGAAGUAGAGGCAAGCGGAAUUCCUGGUGUAGCGGUGAAAUGCGCAGAUAUCAGGAGGAACACCGAUGGCGAAGGCAGGUCUCUGGGCUGUAACUGACGCUGAGGAGCGAAAGCAUGGGGAGCGAACAGGAUUAGAUACCCUGGUAGUCCAUGCCGUAAACGUUGGGCACUAGGUGUGGGGGACAUUCCACGUUUUCCGCGCCGUAGCUAACGCAUUAAGUGCCCCGCCUGGGGAGUACGGCCGCAAGGCUAAAACUCAAAGGAAUUGACGGGGGCCCGCACAAGCGGCGGAGCAUGCGGAUUAAUUCGAUGCAACGCGAAGAACCUUACCAAGGCUUGACAUGAACCGGAAAGGCCUGGAAACAGGUCCCCCACUUGUGGCCGGUUUACAGGUGGUGCAUGGUUGUCGUCAGCUCGUGUCGUGAGAUGUUGGGUUAAGUCCCGCAACGAGCGCAACCCUCGUUCUAUGUUGCCAGCGGGUUAUGCCGGGGACUCAUAGGAGACUGCCGGGGUCAACUCGGAGGAAGGUGGGGACGACGUCAAAUCAUCAUGCCCCUUAUGUCUUGGGCUUCACGCAUGCUACAAUGGCCGGUACAAAGGGUUGCGAUACUGUGAGGUGGAGCUAAUCCCAAAAAGCCGGUCUCAGUUCGGAUUGAGGUCUGCAACUCGACCUCAUGAAGUUGGAGUCGCUAGUAAUCGCAGAUCAGCAACGCUGCGGUGAAUACGUUCCCGGGCCUUGUACUCACCGCCCGUCAAG
rnacentral:rRNA from 1 species